rnacentral:lncRNA from 1 species
GAAAUUCCUUUUUUUUUUUUAAAUAAUAUCUUUAUUGCACUUUUCUUUGCUGUUGUUACAAAUUACUCGACCUACAGCAGUUGGCCGAGUAUCCCUGUGAAUUAGUCACUGGAUAACCAGGGAAUUUAUGCAGUGAAUUCAUAUUUAUAGAUAGUUUGUUAGUUUUACAGUUCAUGGUUAUUACAAACAUUUUACAAACUAUGUUGUUUCAUGAUUACGGAAAGUGUACAGUUUUGUCCGGUUUUGUUUCUAAAGAUUAAAACUUUAUGAUCAUUGACCUUUAACCUUAUUGAUGAAAACCGUUGAAGCUGGUUGAUCAAUUGUGCGGAUUAAUUUAUACGUUUUAUUGAUACUCACGAAAAAACUUAAACUUAAGUUAAAAAUUAUAUGUGGUAAGUUUCGACAUUGUAAAUGGAAAUUCAUUUGAUUAAGUGAUAAAGUGUGUAUAAAUGCGUUUUGAGACAAAAUUCUGUACAUUUUCACGAAGCAUGCUGUUUUGGUUUAUUACCACGUGUUCAGAUAUAUUGUCAACUUUUGCUUCACAAAUUUUAUACAUGAAAAUAUAUUAUAUCUAGCUAUUUAUGAUCAUAUGUAUCUUUU